rnacentral:tRNA from 1 species
AGAAAAUUAGUUAAAAUAUAACAUUAGUAUGUCAUACUAAAAUUAUUAAAAUUUAAUAUUUUCUA